rnacentral:rRNA from 1 species
UACGUGGGGGGCGAGCGUUGUUCGGAAUUAUUGGGCGUAAAGGGUGCGUAGGCGGUUUGGUAAGUCUGAUGUGAAAUCUAUGGGCUCAACUCAUAGUCUGCAUCGGAAACUGCCGGGCUUGAGUGUGGGAGAGGUGAGUGGAAUUCCUGGUGUAGCGGUGAAAUGCGUAGAUAUGCGGAGGAACACCGAUGGCGAAGGCAAUCCCCUGGGCCUGUACUGACGCUCAUGCACGAAAGCGUGGGGAGCAAACAGG